rnacentral:sRNA from 1 species
AUCCGAAUUGAUUCGAGGCCCAGGUCGUC